GGGGAGGUAGCGAAGCGGUCAAACGCACCAGACUGUAAAUCUGGCGGCAGAUGCCUUCGGUGGUUCGAAUCCGCCCCUCCCCA
rnacentral:tRNA from 1 species